rnacentral:misc_RNA from 1 species
AUCGAGGAGGACUAUGGUGUUACUUACAGCCUUUUGUGUUGGGGAUUUUUUCCCUUCAUUUGGAUGGAUUUUUGAUGUGAUUAGAGGAUUUGAUGGGGAAUUGAAAAAUUGCUUCAAAAUAUUAGAUGAGUUUUUCAGUAAGGUAGUUGAAGAACAUAAGGAAAAGAUUAUUAGGGCAGGUGGGAUUGAUAUUCAUGAUGAGUCUAGAAAGGAUUUCUUGGAUAUUAUGCUACAACUUCAACGAGAUGGAAUGAUUGACUACCAUUUCUCUCUUGACAACCUCAAAGCAAUCGUUUUGGACAUGUUUGUUGGCGGCAGUGACACAACAGCGACAGGAUUGGAAUGGACAAUGACAGAGCUGAUGAGAAAGCCAAGAAUUAUGAAGAAAGUCCAAGAAGAAAUUAGAACAAUAAUUGGUGUUAAAUCAAAGAUAGAAGCUGAAGACAUUCAGAAAAUGGAGUACAUGCAGUGUGUCAUUAAAGAAUCUCUAAGACUUCACCCACCAGUUCCUCUUUUAGUGCCAAGAGAAACAACAACAGAUGUGGAGAUUGAAGGUUAUCAUAUUCCAUCAAAGACAAGAGUAUUUGUAAAUGCUUGGGCCAUUCAAAGAGACCCUCAAUCUUGGGAUAACCCAAAUGAGUUCAUUCCAGAGAGAUUUAUGGACAAAAUUAAUUCAGCUGAUUACAAAGGCCAACACUUUGAGUACAUUCCAUUUGGAAGUGGGAGAAGAAAGUGCCCUGGAUUGUCAUUUGGGAUUGCUUCUUUUGAAUUUGCUUUGGCUAAUCUUCUCUAUUGGUUUGAUUGGAAGCUUCCUAAUGGCUGUGAAUCAUUGGAUGUUGAAGAAGCAAAUGGACUCACCGUUCAUAAGAAAAUCUCUCUCAUUCUCAACCCUAUUCCUUAUGUGGUCUAAAAAUCAAUAAUUCAUUCUCAUGUGGGAGAGUACUUUAGUGUUAUAAUUAUUACUUAGUGUUAUAUAUAUAUUUGACUAAGAAGUCAAAA